rnacentral:lncRNA from 1 species
UGGUCAUAUCUGGCUAUGUGUUCAUGUUUUGUUCCUUUCUAAAAAGUGACAAUUAUAUGCCAUAUGGACUCCCGAAUCCCUUCUGAAAUGCUGCAUAGUAUAUUACCUCUAUAAAAAUGUGCACAAUGUACUAUACAGCAUCCCUGCCGGGAUUCUGGAGUGCACUUGAAUUACCUUUGUUACAGCCACUUGCAGUGAUUUGAUAUGCAUUCAGGCGCGGCAGUAAACAAAGCCCUUAGGCUUAGCUGCACUUAUAUAACCUACCAACUCAUAGGGGGUCUAACAGCGGCUAACAGGCGUGCCUGUUAGGAAAUGUUAGCCUAACAGAUUCUCUAACAGUGAUGGGGUUGUCAGACGAUGUUUGGGCUGGCGGCGGGUGGAUCUGGCUGUUAACAACCAUGUUGGAGAAGUAGAACAGGAAUUGGUGCUGUUAGCCGUUGUUAAGGCUUGUCAGAUGUUUUCAGACUGUAUUUUAGCUCUGUCUCACGGUGUUGAUGGAUAACCUCGUUUAGAACAAACAUUCUUGAACGGUUUGUAACGAAAUGUCCUGCCU